rnacentral:lncRNA from 1 species
UGUUGAGGUAAAAGAUAAAGAUGAAUAGAUAAUAGUUAAAGUAGAAUAAGUUACCUCGUAAAGGAUAUUACCUUAGGUAAGUUGCUAAUGGUCAAAGGCUUGACUCUUGGCAUAUAGAAAAAGCAUCCUAUGGACAUAGGAUGCGGUCAAGGACAAAGAGUCAAAGUCAAGAGGAUAAAGUGUGUCCUAGGGAAUAUCCAAAGAACUAGGUAAGA